rnacentral:tRNA from 1 species
UUAACUGAAACCAAAAAAGAGGUAUAUUACUGUUAAUAAUAUUAUUGAAUAAUUCUUCCAGUUAAG